UACGUAGGGCGCAAGCGUUGUCCGGAAUUAUUGGGCGUAAAGAGCUCGUAGGCGGUUUGUCGCGUCUGCUGUGAAAACCUAAGGCUCAACCUUGGGCUUGCAGUGGGUACGGGCAGACUAGAGUGCGGUAGGGGUGACUGGAAUUCCUGGUGUAGCGGUGGAAUGCGCAGAUAUCAGGAGGAACACCGAUGGCGAAGGCAGGUCACUGGGCCGCAACUGACGCUGAGGAGCGAAAGCAUGGAGAGCGAACAGG
rnacentral:rRNA from 1 species